UACGAAGGGUGCAAGCGUUACUCGGAAUUACUGGGCGUAAAGCGUGCGUAGGCGGUUUGUUAAGUCCGCUGUGAAAGCCCUGGGCUCAACCUGGGAAUUGCAGUGGAUACUGGCAAGCUAGAGUGCGGUAGAGGAUGGUGGAAUUCCCGGUGUAGCGGUGAAAUGCGUAGAUAUCUGGAGGAACACCGGUGGCGAAGGCGGCAUCCUGGACCGGUAUUGACGCUGAGGCGCGAAAGCUAGGGGAGCAAACGGG
rnacentral:rRNA from 1 species